UACGGGGGGGGCAAGCGUUGUUCGGAAUUACUGGGCGUAAAGGGCUCGUAGGCGGCCAACUAAGUCGGAUGUGAAAUCCCCAGGCUUAACCUGGGAACUGCAUCCGAUACUGGAUGGCUUGAAUCCGGGAGAGGGAUGCGGAAUUCCAGGUGUAGCGGUGAAAUGCGUAGAUAUCGGGAGGAACACCAGUGGCGAAGGCGGCUUACGUGGUCCGGUUCUGACGCUGAGACGCGAAAGCGUGGGGAGCAAACAGG
rnacentral:rRNA from 1 species